UGCUCUUUAAAAAAAUAUUUCUCCCUGUACUUCAGAAGUCAGCUGCUUAUACAACCUUCUGACAAAUCUAAACUCAAUCUAAAGAUACAAGAAAAUUCUGAGUGCCAUAUUUUGUCUGAGCUAUUUUGUUGGCAUGAGUGCAUUAUCAUGCAGAAUUUUUAGCCAUUAUGUUCUUAAACAAUGAAAUUAUAUCACACAGUGGCAAC